GAUGAACGCUAGCGGCAGGCCUAACACAUGCAAGUCGAGGGAGAGGUUAUCUUCGGGUAACCAAAACCGGCGCACGGGUGCGUAACGCGUAUACAAUCUGCCUUUCACAUAGGGAUAGCCCGAAGAAAUUUGGAUUAAUACCUAAUGGUAUAUAAGAGCGGCAUCGUUUUUAUAUUAAAGCUACGGUGGUGAAAGAUGAGUAUGCGUUCUAUUAGCUAGUUGGAGAAGUAACGGCUCCCCAAGGCGACGAUAGAUAGGGGUUCUGAGAGGGAUGUCCCCCACACCGGUACUGAGAUACGGACCAGACUCCUACGGGAGGCAGCAGUGAGGAAUAUUGGACAAUGGUCGGAAGACUGAUCCAGCCAUGCCGCGUGCAGGAUGAAGGUCCUAUGGAUUGUAAACUGCUUUUGUAAGGGAAGAAUAAGGAGUACGUGUACUUUGAUGACGGUACCUUACGAAUAAGCAUCGGCUAACUCCGUGCCAGCAGCCGCGGUAAUACGGAGGAUGCGAGCGUUAUCCGGAAUCAUUGGGUUUAAAGGGUCCGUAGGCGGGCUGAUAAGUCAGAGGUGAAAGCGCUUAGCUCAACUAAGCAACUGCCUUUGAAACUGUCAGUCUUGAAUGAUUGUGAAGUAGUUGGAAUGUGUAGUGUAGCGGUGAAAUGCUUAGAUAUUACACAGAACACCGAUAGCGAAGGCAUAUUACUAACAAUUUACUGACGCUGAUGGACGAAAGCGUGGGGAGCGAACAGG
rnacentral:rRNA from 1 species